AUGCACAUAUAGUGACUAUUAGAGUGGUUAUGGAUUUAAAUCAACUAUUUUGAAUGUGAAGUGGAGGACGUGAAGACCAGUAAAGUUAAAAUGGCAGAGUCCAGACUUCAUAAUCAGUUUAAACUCACCUCAGAAGACUAUGUGUGGUCUGAUGUUGGUGAAGAGGUCACCCUCCCCUGUCACCUCUCACCUGACACCAGUGCUGUUGCCACGACGAUCAGGUGGUUUAAAGGGACAGAGUGUAUUUACCUGUAUAAGAAUGGCCAGGUGACAGAGAGGAGUGGCUAUGAGGGCAGAGUGAGUCUGAUCACCCAGGAGCUGGAGAGAGGCAACGUGUCUCUGAGGCUGAGAGACAUCAGGAGGUCAGAUAGAGGAGUCUACAUAUGUCAGGUCAUCCAUGGA